rnacentral:rRNA from 1 species
GGGUUGUGAGGUUAAGCGACUAAGCGUACACGGUGGAUGCCCUGGCAGUCAGAGGCGAUGAAGGACGUGCUAAUCUGCGAAAAGCGCCGGCGAGGUGAUAUGAACCUUUGACCCGGCGAUGUCCGAAUGGGGAAACCCAGUGCAAUCCGUUGCACUAUCGUUAACUGAAUACAUAGGUUAACGAGGCGAACCGGGGGAACUGAAACAUCUAAGUACCCCGAGGAAAAGAAAUCAACCGAGAUUCCCCCAGUAGCGGCGAGCGAACGGGGAGCAGCCCGGAGUCUGAAUCAGCUUGUGUGUUAGUGGAACGGUCUGGAAAGUCCGACGGUACAGGGUGAUAGUCCCGUACACGAAAGCACACUUGCUGUGAACUCGAAGAGUAGGGCGGGACACGUGGUAUCCUGUCUGAAUAUGGGGGGACCAUCCUCCAAGGCUAAAUACUCCUGACUGACCGAUAGUGAACCAGUACCGUGAGGGAAAGGCGAAAAGAACCCCGGCGAGGGGAGUGAAAAAGAACCUGAAACCGUGUACGUACAAGCAGUGGGAGCCUCUUUAUGGGGUGACUGCGUACCUUUUGUAUAAUGGGUCAGCGACUUAUAUUCUGUAGCAAGGUUAACCGUAUAGGGGAGCCGAAGGGAAACCGAGUCUUAACUGGGCGUUAAGUUGCAGGGUAUAGACCCGAAACCCGGUGAUCUAGCCAUGGGCAGGUUGAAGGUUGGGUAACACUAACUGGAGGACCGAACCGACUAAUGUUGAAAAAUUAGCGGAUGACCUGUGGCUGGGGGUGAAAGGCCAAUCAAACCGGGAGAUAGCUGGUUCUCCCCGAAAGCUAUUUAGGUAGCGCCUCGUGAACUCAUCUUCGGGGGUAGAGCACUGUUUCGGCUAGGGGGCCAUCCCGGCUUACCAACCCGAUGCAAACUACGAAUACCGAAGAAUGUUAUCACGGGAGACACACGGCGGGUGCUAACGUCCGUCGUGAAGAGGGAAACAACCCAGACCGCCAGCUAAGGUCCCAAAGUCAUGGUUAAGUGGGAAACGAUGUGGGAAGGCACAGACAGCCAGGAUGUUGGCUUAGAAGCAGCCAUCAUUUAAAGAAAGCGUAAUAGCUCACUGGUCGAGUCGGCCUGCGCGGAAGAUGUAACGGGGCUAAACCAUGCACCGAAGCUGCGGCAGCGACGCUUAGGCGUUGUUGGGUAGGGGAGCGUUCUGUAAGCCGUUGAAGGUGUGCUGUGAGGCAUGCUGGAGGUAUCAGAAGUGCGAAUGCUGACAUAAGUAACGAUAAAGCGGGUGAAAAGCCCGCUCGCCGGAAGACCAAGGGUUCCUGUCCAACGUUAAUCGGGGCAGGGUGAGUCGACCCCUAAGGCGAGGCCGAAAGGCGUAGUCGAUGGGAAACAGGUUAAUAUUCCUGUACUUGGUGUUACUGCGAAGGGGGGACGGAGAAGGCUAUGUCAGCCGGGCGACGGUUGUCCCGGUUUAAGCAUGUAGGCGGAGGUUCCAGGUAAAUCCGGUACCUUAUUAACGCUGAGGUGUGAUGACGAGGCACUACGGUGCUGAAGUGAUAAAUGCCCUGCUUCCAGGAAAAGCCUCUAAGCAUCAGGUAACACGAAAUCGUACCCCAAACCGACACAGGUGGUCAGGUAGAGAAUACCAAGGCGCUUGAGAGAACUCGGGUGAAGGAACUAGGCAAAAUGGUGCCGUAACUUCGGGAGAAGGCACGCUGAUAUGUAGGUGAAGUCCCUGCGGACGGAGCUGAAAUCAGUCGAAGAUACCAGCUGGCUGCAACUGUUUAUUAAAAACACAGCACUGUGCAAACACGAAAGUGGACGUAUACGGUGUGACGCCUGCCCGGUGCCGGAAGGUUAAUUGAUGGGGUUAGCGGCAACGCGAAGCUCUUGAUCGAAGCCCCGGUAAACGGCGGCCGUAACUAUAACGGUCCUAAGGUAGCGAAAUUCCUUGUCGGGUAAGUUCCGACCUGCACGAAUGGCGUAAUGAUGGCCAGGCUGUCUCCACCCGAGACUCAGUGAAAUUGAACUCGCUGUGAAGAUGCAGUGUACCCGCGGCAAGACGGAAAGACCCCGUGAACCUUUACUAUAGCUUGACACUGAACACUGGUCCUUGAUGUGUAGGAUAGGUGGGAGGCUUUGAAGCGUGGACGCCAGUCUGCGUGGAGCCAACCUUGAAAUACCACCCUUUAAUGGCUGGUGUUCUAACGUAGACCCGUAAUCCGGGUUGCGGACAGUGUCUGGUGGGUAGUUUGACUGGGGCGGUCUCCUCCCAAAGAGUAACGGAGGAGCACGAAGGUUGGCUAAUCCUGGUCGGACAUCAGGAGGUUAGUGCAAUGGCAUAAGCCAGCUUGACUGCGAGCGUGACGGCGCGAGCAGGUGCGAAAGCAGGUCAUAGUGAUCCGGUGGUUCUGAAUGGAAGGGCCAUCGCUCAACGGAUAAAAGGUACUCCGGGGAUAACAGGCUGAUACCGCCCAAGAGUUCAUAUCGACGGCGGUGUUUGGCACCUCGAUGUCGGCUCAUCACAUCCUGGGGCUGAAGUAGGUCCCAAGGGUAUGGCUGUUCGCCAUUUAAAGUGGUACGCGAGCUGGGUUUAGAACGUCGUGAGACAGUUCGGUCCCUAUCUGCCGUGGGCGCUGGAGAAUUGAGGGGGGCUGCUCCUAGUACGAGAGGACCGGAGUGGACGCAUCACUGGUGUUCGGGUUGUCAUGCCAAUGGCACUGCCCGGUAGCUAAAUGCGGAAGAGAUAAGUGCUGAAAGCAUCUAAGCACGAAACUUGCCCCGAGAUGAGUUCUCCCU